AACCUUAGAAACAUAUCUAAACAGAGUGUUCUUCAAAAUCACAAGAGAAACUUGGCCCUUUUUGGCUGGAAUUCAAGAACACACACUUCUUUUUGGGGAAUGAUCGAGUGGAUGCAGGAAGCGGGCCAUUGGAGAUGGAAUUUUUGAGAGCCUUAAGGAAGAUCACAUUUGCAUUUAGGCAUCUAUAUUUUGUAUAAACCUUGGGACUUGUACAUGAUCUUUUUGUUGUAUAUUUACAUGAAAUUUCGAUGACUAAUGUGAUCAUGUCACCAUGGGUUGUAAAUUAAGUAUGGCUAUAUGUUUUGUUCUUUUGGGGUGUGUAAGCCCAAGUAUUGCAAUAUACUAAAUUUACUAUUUGUUUUGAA